rnacentral:lncRNA from 1 species
GCCAAGGUCAAGCAGCAGCACGGAGCAGAGAGCAGGUACUCAAAGGAUGGGAAUCGUGACUGCACGGUCAUCAAGAUGGCUGAGUCCAGCUCCUGCAUCUGUUGCUUGAAGCUCCUUUCCCACAUGCCAAAUGCCUACUUCAAACCAAUGACACUGGCACAUGGGAGUUCACCUUUACAAGAGCUGCCUUCUCUCCAAGGAUGCUUUCCCGUCUUCCGUUUCCUCAAGGAAGAAAUCAAGGGAAAAGGGAAGCACCUUUCUUCCUUCCCUGCUCUAAUUUGUACCGUCUCCCCAUGAUGAGAUAAGCCUGUGCUGACUGAUACCUGGGUGUGGAGCGAGCUGCAUGUGACCCCGUCAUUCUUUUUUCUUUUUGCCCCAUUAAUAGAUGCUUUUUAGCCACUUCACCAACUGACCCCAAGCCUCACCUCUGGUCUCUAAUCAAAACCUUAACAGGGUUUUCCAUAAACUGAAAUUUACAUUCAAUCAUCACCAU